UUCUUAUACAUGCGCGCACCAGUUUCUGAUCAAAAUCAGAUAAAACUAUAGCUUGAAUGUGCCUUCCUACAAGCAGUAGAAAGUUUUCAGUGCUAUAAUGUGUUUAAAUCGUACGAUAAGAAACUAACCUGAUUUUAGCGAAGAAAUCCUAAUUCCUGUUGUUAGUAGAGGUUAAAUCUAUUUUCUG